ensembl:lncRNA
UUUCAGACCUUUAGUAUUAACAGUUCUACAAGAACUACUGGUUCAUUCUUUACAAACUAACAUACAGACACUCUGGCAGAAGCUGGAAAGAGACCGAAUAUGUCUGUGAAAGCCAAAAAACGCCAGAGAAACUAAUCCGCCUGAAACAUUUAUUACACUCUACAACUGUAGGGGGAGCCCACGAGCACAAAAUCUCAAUCCUACCCAGUGGAGCUUUAAGUGAAACGUCAUCGCCUCUGCCAAAACUAGUGUUAAUAUAUUCAGAAGUAGACUGUUUAAUUCCUAGAUAAAAAAGUACAAUAUUGUUUACUUUUGGCACCGUGGAGUUCUUACUGUGUUCAGCGGUCCAGCGGGGAAUGCGCAAAAUAUUUGAAGACGGUUUGGGAUCCCACGUUUUACAGAACACUGAGGAAAACUUCAAGAACCGAACCCGUCAGGCAAGAAGUCUUAUAGAAGGAUUACACGCCUCCACCUCCUCACUCCACUCUGGAUAUCUUUUUUUUUUUUUUUUUUUUCUAGACAUCAGCAAAGAAGUAACCCUGUUCUGGCAGCUGCUAUUCUGUGCUCCCCAAUAAGGAUGAGUAAGAGCUGAUUUAUAUGUCUGUCUAUUUGGCAUAGAAGCAGCUCGAUGUCUUCUUUAAUAGAUAUUGACCCGCUGAAUCCACACUGAGGUUGAGGAAACUGGGCCAUGUCUGGACAUGCCCUGGCUCACUCAUAAUCUACACAUCUAUGGAUGGUGGACAUGAGGGGUCUGCAGCUUUUCUGGUCUGGUAACGAUCGGCCUCAGCAGCAGGCAACAAAUGAGCCCCACUUCUAUUGUAUCUGCCCCCUCCGCUUGUUUUUUUUCCAUGUUGAAAUGAGUGCAAUGUUGCUAUGGUUACAGGUUUAAUCCUUCCUUCACCGAUGUUUGUCUGUAUGCUAAGAUUAGACGAGGUGGAUAUUAAUGAUUUUCUUAAGCUACGAAGGACCAUGCAGUGCAAACACUUGAAGAUAACAGGAUCCAAACAACCAAAAAAAUACAGAAAAUAGAAAUACAGUAAGGCUGCACUGAAGAGGGAAGAUUAAGACAUUUCCUUUCCCUUGGUUUCCCGUGCUCAGGGUUUUAUGUUCAAGAAAACAAUAUGUUCUUCAGAAAGGUCUUUUUAAUGGAGUGCCACAAUGAUCCUCAUCCUCAUUCGGCUGAUUUCUGCUCAAAACAGUGGUAAAGAGUGCCUCCUAGAGGAGGCUUCAUGUAUAAAAACAGCCGUAGCAGCCAAAUCACCUAGUGGUGGACAUCUGAUAUAUACAGGGCUGUACUUAUGUUCUUUCUCAGAAUGUUAAGAACGUGGAAUUAACCCUACCACAAAGUGCAAGGCUUGCACUCAAGCAACAUGCUGAACUUUUCAAUCAUGAGCGGCAGCCAUGUUUCACGCCUGUCUGAGCUCUGUUCUGGAAUGAGGGAUAAACUCAGCUGAGCCGAGGAGUGAGGAGUUGAGAGGCAUACGGCUGCUUUUCAGUGGACCGAACAUGUCAUGAAGCUUUCAUCCACACAGAGUUCUUCUCUUUUCCCCUGACGUUAAUUAGUGACCCACACGU